UACGUAGGUGACCAGCGUUGUCCGGAUUUACUGGGCGUAAAGAGCGCGCAGGCGGUCGUUCAAGUCGAGUGUGAAAGCCCCCGGCUCAACUGGGGAGGGUCACUCGAUACUGAUCGACUUGAAGGCAGGAGAGGGAAGCGGAAUUCCCGGUGUAGUGGUGAAAUGCGUAGAUAUCGGGAGGAACACCAGUGGCGAAGGCGGCUUCCUGGCCUGUUCUUGACGCUGAGGAGCGAAAGCGUGGGUAGCAAACAGG
rnacentral:rRNA from 1 species